GCCCACAUUUUUCCCUCAAAAAAUGGAAUUUAAGUGUAGAAACGCUCCGGAGAAGGGAGGGCAAAGGAAGAAGGAACGAUGGCGAACAAGUUGAUCAGUGAGAUGGGUCUCCCCACAUCAAUAGCCAACAUCUUCGCUGCUCGCAACAUCACUACUGCCAAGGAAGCAUUAUCUCUAACCGAAUUCGAAUUGAUGGAGUUAUUGGAUGUGGGUAUGGCGCGAGUAACAUCUGCAGUGGCACACAUCAGCGAAAUCGUCUCGCCACCGACGCAAACUGCCCUGUCACUGAUGGAGCAGAGGGUUCAGAAUGAGUAUAUGGCUGGCCAUCUUCCCACACGCCUCAAAGGGUUGGACGAGGCUUUAGGGGGUGGAAUCCCAUUUGGUGUUCUUACUGAGUUGGUUGGUCCUCCCGGAAUUGGCAAAACCCAAUUUUGCCUUAAACUCUCAUUAUUGGCUUCUCUGCCUGCAAGUUAUGGAGGCUUAGAUGGCCGUGUAAUAUAUAUUGAUGCCGAAUCCAAGUUUAGUUCAAGAAGGAUGAUAGAAAUUGGAUCAAAGAGUUUCCCAGAAAUAUUCCAUGUGGAAGGAAUGGCAAAGGAGAUGGCCGGGAGGAUCCUAGUUUUGAGGCCAACAUCACUGUCUGAAUUUACUGAGAGCUUACAGCACAUUAAGAUUUCACUUCUCCAAAAUCAUGUGAAGUUGCUUGUGAUUGAUAGCAUGGCUGCUCUUGUUACAGGGGAAUAUGACCAGGGGCCUACCAGACAACAUUCAUUGGGUUGGCAUAUUUCUUUUAUUAAGUCAGUUGCAGAAUUUUCACGAAUUCCUAUUGUAGUGACAAACCAGGUGAGGUCUCAAAGCCAUGACGGAACCUCGCAAUAUUCCUUCCAAGUGGAGAGCAGGGGUGAAACUGUAGAUGACCACACGAGAUUUGAUUCUCAUCUUGUUGCUGCUUUGGGGAUUCAUUGGGCUCAUGCUGUAACCAUUCGUCUUGUGCUUGAGGCUAAAGCAGGUCAGAGGUUUCUGAAAGUGGCAAAAUCUCCAAUAUCUCCACCUCUGGCAUUCCCUUUCAACAUAACUCCAUCAGGGAUCUCCUUGCUAAAUGAUGAGGGAAUAGAAAUGAAAGGACCACAGAUAAGCACAAUUCACUAUCAAGGCCACGAGGACAUCAUCAACUUUGACAGUGAAAGGUUGCAGUGAUCAAUCAGGACGCAAGCUGCAUCAAUCAAUAUGUAGUGGACAGAGGGGGAACAUGAUGAUUAAGAAUUAAGAAGUGAUCAAGCAAAUUGAGAAGCACACAAACCGGAUGCAAUGGAUUCAUGCAGACCAGCAGACAAGGAACACAUAAUUUAAGGUAAUGACUUACACCUAAAAGAUAUAAUCAUACCUGCUAUUUGUUCUAUUAUCAUGAAUCUCCAGUAAGGAGUAGAGAAGUGGCAACAUUGAGUUUCCAUAAAUAGUCAGCAUUCGGCUGUAGCCUGUCAAGGUGUCUAGCCGGUUAAGGCAAAUGCUAGGAUAUCUGUGGUAGAGGUGUAUGAUCCUAGGUUUGAUUUCUGUUGUUUGUUGAACCAGUGCUGGUUGUGACAGGCACUAUCAGUACCCAGAGAUUUUGGGUCCCUAUGGAGCGUCCAAGGGGCUCGGCCAUAGGAAGUUUCUUGGUUAUUUAAAAAGAAAAAAGGCUGCAAUAUCCCCAUGAAAGUCCAAAGGGCUUGGUCAUGGGAGGUUCAUCGACGAAAAAAAAAAAAAUUAGGCGGCAAAGAUCAUGAUGGCAUGAUGAGGGUGAUACCAUGUGAUCAUGUACCAAAGCAAAAUCUUAUUAGUUUAUGAGUCAGAUCUUUGGAACAAGAAUACCUUAGCAUGCACUCCAUCAAGAUUCAAAAGAUUUAUUCUUGUUUAUUAUUUGUAGGAACCGAGGAAAAAGAGCUUUUAAACUAUACAAGGAACUGGGUUGGGUUGUUUGUUUGUUUGCUCUCGCCUAAAGAAGACAUAAAAGUACUCCACAGUCCACACCCUUCAAGAAUGGUUUCUCAAGACAAAAGGAAAAAUAUUAUAUGCACCCAAAGCACACAAAGAUUGACUGGUUUUUAAGGUUUCUUUCCUUUCUUCUCUUAGGCUUUUCCAUUUUAUAUCAUUUCUCUCCACACACCAGGAUUGCUUUGAA